UACAGAGGGGGCAAGCGUUGUUCGGAAUUACUGGGCGUAAAGGGCGCGUAGGCGGCCUUCUAAGUCGAAUGUGAAAUCCCCGGGCUCAACCCGGGAACUGCGUCCGAGACUGAAAGGCUUGAAUCCGGGAGAGGGAUGUGGAAUUCCAGGUGUAGCGGUGAAAUGCGUAGAUAUCUGGAGGAACAUCGGUGGCGAAGGCGGCAUCCUGGACCGGUAUUGACGCUGAGGCGCGAAAGCCAGGGGAGCAAACGGG
rnacentral:rRNA from 1 species